CAACCCUCAAGCCCUGCUUGGUGUUGGGGCACUGCUCUCGCCCGAGAGCAGGCCCUGAAAUCUAGUGGCGAGCUCGCCAGGACCCCGAGCGCAGUAGUUAAACCCUCGCUCUGGAAGGCCCUGGCGGUGCCCUGCCGUUAAACCCCCAAUUUUUUCU
rnacentral:misc_RNA from 1 species